rnacentral:rRNA from 1 species
UACUGCCUACGGGGCGCAGCAGUAGGGAAUCUUCCACAAUGGACGAAAGUCUGAUGGAGCAACGCCGCGUGAGUGAAGAAGGGGUUCGGCUCGUAAAUCUCUGUUGGUAGUGAAGAAAGAUAGAGGUAGUAACUGGCCUUUAUUUGACGGUAAUUACUUAGAAAGUCACGGCUAACUACGUGCCAGCAGCCGCGGUAAUACGUAGGUGGCAAGCGUCGCCCGGAUUUAUUGGGCGUAAAGCGAGC